rnacentral:rRNA from 1 species
CCCAUGGCCAGGUCGUAGGCGCGUCAGGCCCUUCGGGGUACACGAGCGGCGAACGGGUGAGUAACACUUGAGUAACCUGCCCCUGACUCUGGGAUAAGCGGUGGAAACGCCGUCUAAUACCGGAUACGACCUUCCGCCUCAUGGUGGAGGGUGGAAAGUUUUUUCGGUCAGGGAUGGGCUCGCGGCCUAUCAGCUUGUUGGUGGGGUAACGGCCUACCAAGGCGAUUACGGGUAGCCGGCCUGAGAGGGCGACCGGCCACACUGGGACUGAGACACGGCCCAGACUCCUGCGGGAGGCAGCAGUGGGGAAUAUUGCGCAAUGGGCGAAAGCCUGACGCAGCGACGCCGCGUGGGGGAUGACGGCCUUCGGGUUGUAAACCUCUUUUACCACCAACGCAGGCUCCGGGUUUUCUCGGGGUUGACGGUAGGUGGGGAAUAAGGACCGGCUAACUACGUGCCUGCAGCCGCGGUAAUACGUAGGGUCCGAGCGUUGUCCGGAAUUAUUGGGCGUAAAGAGCUCGUAGGCGGCGUGUCGCGUCUGCUGUGAAAGACCGGGGCUUAACUCCGGUUCUGCAGUGGAUACGGGCAUGCUAGAGGUAGGUAGGGGAGACUGGAAUUCCUGGUGUAGCGGUGAAAUGCGCAGAUAUCAGGAGGAACACCGGUGGCGAAGGCGGGUCUCUGGGCCUUACCUGACGCUGAGGAGCGAAAGCAUGGGGAGCGAACAGGAUUAGAUACCCUGGUAGUCCAUGCCGUAAACGUUGGGCGCUAGGUGUGGGGACUUUCCACGGUUUCCGCGCCGUACCUAACGCAUUAAGCGCCCCGCCUGGGGAGUACGGCCGCAAGGCUAAAACUCAAAGGAAUUGACGGGGGCCCGCACAAGCGGCGGAGCAUGUUGCUUAAUUCGACGCAACGCGAAGAACCUUACCAAGGUUUGACAUCACCCGUGGACCUGUAGAGAUACAGGGUCAUUUAGUUGGUGGGUGACACGUGGUGCAUGGCUGUCGUCAGCUCGUGUCGUGAGAUGUUGGGUUAAGUCCCCGCAACGAGCGCAACCCUUGUUCCAUGUUGCCAGCACGUAAUGGUGGGGACUUCAUGGGAGACUGCCCAGGGUCAACUCGGAGGAAGUGGGGACGACGUCUAGUCAUCAUGCCCCUUAUGUCUGGCCUGCAACUGCUACAAUGGCCGGCACAUGGGCGUGCGUACCGUAUGGUGGAGCGAUCCCUUAAAGCCGGUCUCAAUCGAAUGGGGCUGCACUC